rnacentral:snRNA from 1 species
GUGCUCGCUUUGGCAGCACAUAUACUAAAAUUGGAGCCAUACAGAGAAGAUUAGCAUGGACCCUGCUCAAGGAUGACACACAAAUUCGUGAAGCGUUCCAUGUUUUU